rnacentral:rRNA from 1 species
GCGGCGAACGGGUGAGUAACGCGUUGGUGACCUGCCCCGAAGUGUGGGAUAACAGCUCGAAAGGGCUGCUAAUACCGCAUGUGAUCCCCCGGAUUAGAGGCCGGGUGAUUAAAGGCGAAAGUCGCUUCGGGAGGGGCCUGCGUCCCAUCAGCUAGUUGGUAGGGUAAUGGCCUACCAAGGCGAUGACGGGUAGGGGACCUGAGAGGGUGGCCCCCCACAAUGGAACUGAAACACGGUCCAUACACCUACGGGUGGCAGCAGUAGGGAAUAUUGGUUAAUGGGCGAAAGCCUGAACCAGCAACGCCGCGUGCGCGAUGAAGGCCUUCGGGUUGUAAAGCGCUUUUUGAGGGGAAGAGGAAGGACGGUACCCUCAGAAUAAGUCUCGGCUAACUACGUGCCAGCAGCCGCGGUAACACGUAGGAGACGAGCGUUAUCCGGAUUUACUGGGCGUAAAGCGCGUGCAGGCGGUUCAGCAAGUUGGAUGUGAAAGCUCCCGGCUUAACUGGGAGAGGUCGUUCAAUACUACUGGACUUGAGAGUGGUAGAGGGAGGUGGAAUUCCGGGUGUAGUGGUGAAAUGCGUAGAUAUCCGGAGGAACACCAGUGGCGAAAGCGGGCCUCCUGGACCACUUCUGACGCUCAGACGCGAAAGCUAGGGUAGCGAACGGGAUUAGAUACCCUGGUAGUC